CACGUAGGGUGCGAGCGUUGUCCGGAAUUAUUGGGCGUAAAGAGCUCGUAGGCGGUGUGUCGCGUCGGCCGUGAAAACCUGUGGCUUAACCAUGGGCUUGCGGUCGAUACGGGCAUCACUGGAGUUCGGCAGGGGAGACUGGAAUUCCUGGUGUAGCGGUGAAAUGCGCAGAUAUCAGGAGGAACACCGGUGGCGAAGGCGGGAUCUCUGGGCCAUUACUGACGCUGAGGAGCGAAAAGCGUGGGGGAGCGAACAGG
rnacentral:rRNA from 1 species